CCUACGGGUGGCUGCAGUGGGGAAUAUUGCACAAUGGGGGAAACUCUGAUGCAGCGACGCCGCGUGAGUGAAGACGGAUUUCGGUAUGUAAAGCUCUAUUAGCAGGGGAGAAAAUGACUGUACCUGAUUAAGAAGCUCUGUCUAAUUACGUGCCAGCAGCGGCGGUAAUACGUCGGGGGCAAGCGUUAUCCGGAUUGACUGGGCGUAAAGGGAGCGUAGACGGUGAUGCAAGUCAGAAGUGAAAGCCCGGGGCUCAACUCCGGGAUUGCUUUUGAAACUGUGUGACUGGAGUGCAGGAGAGGUGAGCGGAAUUCCUGGUGUAGCGGUGAAAUGCGUAGAUAUCAGGAGGAACACCAGUGGCGAAGGCGGCUUACUGGACUGUAACUGACGUUGAGGCUCGAAAGCGUGGGGAGCAAACAGGAUUAGAUACCCCUGUAGUC
rnacentral:rRNA from 1 species